UGGGGAAUAUUGCACAAUGGGCGAAAGCCUGAUGCAGCAACGCCGCGUGAGGGACGACGGCCUUCGGGUUGUAAACCUCUUUUAGCAAGGAAGAAGCGAAAGUGACGGUACUUGCAGAAAAAGCGCCGGCUAACUACGUGCCAGCAGCCGCGGUAAUACGUAGGGCGCAAGCGUUAUCCGGAAUUAUUGGGCGUAAAGAGCUCGUAGGCGGUUUGUCGCGUCUGCUGUGAAAACCCGAGGCUCAACCUCGGGCCUGCAGUGGGUACGGGCAGACUAGAGUGCGGUAGGGGAGAUUGGAACUCCUGGUGUAGCGGUGGAAUGCGCAGAUAUCAGGAAGAACACCGAUGGCGAAGGCAGAUCUCUGGGCCGUAACUGACGCUGAGGAGCGAAAGGGUGGGGAGCAAACAGGCUUAGAAUGACCCUGGUAGUCCACCCCGUAAACGUUGGGAACUAGUUGUGGGGUCCAUUCCACGGAUUCCGUGACGCAGCUAACGCAUUAAGUUCCCCGCCUGGGGAGUACGGCCGCAAGG
rnacentral:rRNA from 1 species